GACUAUUCUAUGAUGUAAAGAUUUACGGAUGUAAGAGAUUCGUCUCAUGUCCGAGAGCGCAUAACCCCAUGUGGAUUAUUCCGUUGCCUUCCUUCUGAUCUUUUAC
rnacentral:snoRNA from 1 species